GUGCUCACCACGGCGGCACAUAUACUAAAAUUGGAUCGAUACAGAGAAGAUUAGCAUGGCCCCUGCGAAAGGAUGACAUGCAAAUCUGUGAAGCGCUCCAUCUUUUG
ensembl:snRNA U6 U6 spliceosomal RNA